rnacentral:rRNA from 1 species
UACGUAGGGGGCAAGCGUUGUCCGGAAUCAUUGGGCGUAAAGCGCGUGUAGGCGGUUCAGUAAGUCUGCUGCGAAAGUCCAGGGCUCAACCCUGGGAUGCCGGUGGAUACUGCUGGGCUAGAGUACGGAAGAGGCGAGUGGAAUUCCCGGUGUAGCGGUGAAAUGCGCAGAUAUCGGGAGGAACACCAAUUGCGAAGGCAGCUCGCUGGGACGUCACUGACGCUGAGACGCGAAAGCGUGGGGAGCAAACAGG